GGCCGGUUAGUUCAGAUGGCUAGAGCGUGGUGCUAAUAAUGCCAAGGUCAUGGGUUCAACCCCCAUACUGGCCA